rnacentral:rRNA from 1 species
CACUCCUACGGGAGGCAGCAGUGGGGAAUUUUGGACAAUGGGCGAAAGCCUGAUCCAGCAAUGCCGCGUGCAGGAUGAAGGCCUUCGGGUUGUAAACUGCUUUUGUACGGAACGAAAAAGCUCCUUCUAAUACAGGGGGCCCAUGACGGUACCGUAAGAAUAAGCACCGGCUAACUACGUGCCAGCAGCCGCGGUAAUACGUAGGGUGCGAGCGUUAAUCGGAAUUACUGGGCGUAAAGCGUGCGCAGGCGGUUAUGUAAGACAGAUGUGAAAUCCCCGGGCUCAACCGGGGAACUGCAUUUGUGACUGCAUGGCUAGAGGACGGUAGAGGGGGAUGGAAUUCCGCGUGUAGCAGUGAAAUGCGUAGAUAUGCGGAGGAACACCGAUGGCGAAGGCAAUCCCCUGGACCUGUACUGACGCUCAUGCACGAAAGCGUGGGGAGCAAACAGGAUUAGAUACCCCAGUAGUCCCA